rnacentral:rRNA from 1 species
AUCGAUGAUNCACGUUANUUUUCACUUUAUUCAAAAAUUUAUAUACCGCCAUCUUAAAAAUUAAUCUAAAAAUACUUUUUUAAAAAAAAAUAAAAAGUUAGGUCAAGGUGUAAUCUAUAUUAAAGAAUCCGAUGAAUUACAUUAAAUACAAUUUAAAAAUUAUAAAUAAAUAUAAUUAUAUGAAUAAGGAUUUAAUAGUAAUAUUAUAAUAAUAUUAUAAUAUGAUAUAGAUAACAAAUGUGUACACAUCGCCC